UACGUGCAUGAGAUAGGUGACUCAAAGA
rnacentral:piRNA from 1 species